AAGGAUUUAAGUUAAGUUAAACUCUUAGCCUUCAAAGUUGAAAAUAGAAUUAUCUAAGCCUUA
rnacentral:tRNA from 1 species